rnacentral:rRNA from 1 species
AUUGAACGCUGGCGGCAGGCCUAACACAUGCAAGUCGAGCGAGCGGCGGACGGGUGAGGAAUGUAUGGGGCCUGCCCGAUAGAGGGGGAUAACUACUGGAAACGGUGGCCAAUACAGCAUACUAUCGGAUAACCCAUAUGGGAGUAGCGAGUAGGUGGGGUAAAGGCUCACCUAGGCGACGAUCUCUAGCUGGUCUGAGAGGAUGAUCAGCACUACUGGGACUGAGACACGGCCCAGACUCCGACGGAGGCAGAAGUGGGUAUUAUUGCACAAUGGGCGCAAGCCGGAUGCAGCCAUGCCGCUUGUAUGAAGAAGGCCUUAGGGUUGUAAAGUACUUUCAGCGGGGAGUCGUUACCCGCAGAAGAAGCACCGGCUAACGCCGUGCCAGCAGCCGCGGUAAUUC